rnacentral:rRNA from 1 species
AGCGAACGCUGGCGGCAGGCCUAACACAUGCAAGUCGAACGGACCUUUCGGGGUUAGUGGCGGACGGGUGAGUAACACGUGGGAACGUGCCUUUUGGUUCGGAACAACUCAGGGGAAACUUGAGCUAAUACCGGAUGUGCCCUUCGGGGAAAGAUUUAUCGCCAUUAGAGCGGCCCGCGUCUGAGUUAGCUUGUUGGUGAGGUAAAGGCUCACCAAGGCGACGAUCAGUAGCUGGUCUGAGAGGACUGAUCAGCCACAUUGGGACUGAGACACGGCCCGAAACUCCUACGGGAGGCAGCAGUGGGGAAUCUUGCGCAAUGGGCGAAA